AGAAAAUAGAUACCCUGGUAGUCCACGCCGUAAACGAUGAGCACUAGUUAUUGGGGGUAUUGACUCCCUCAGUGACGCAGCUAACGCAUUAAGUGCUCCGCCUGGGGAGUACGGUCGCAAGACUAAAACUCAAACAAAUUGACGGGGGCCCGCACAAGCGGUGGAUUAUGUGGUUUAAUUCGAAGCAACGCGCAGAACCUUACCUAGGCUUGAACUCCUACGAACCUCUUGUAAUGGAGAGGGUGUCCGCAAGGAAAUGUAGUGAGAGGUGCUGCAUGGCUGUCGUCAGCUCGUGUUGUGAAAUGUUGGGUUAAGUCUCGCAACGAGCGCAACCCCUAUCGUCUGUUGCCAGCAUUAAGUUGGGCACUCUGACGAGACUGCCUGGGUUAACCAGGAGGAAGGUGGGGAUGACGUCAAGUCCUCAUGGCCCUUAUGUCUAGGGCUACACACGUAAUACAAUGGCGCGUACAGAGGGAAGCGAACUAGCAAUAGGGGAGCAAAUCUCAAAAACGCGCGCCUCAGUUCGGAUUGGA
rnacentral:rRNA from 1 species